rnacentral:misc_RNA from 1 species
AAGUCGUAACAAGGUCUCCGUUGGUGAACCAGCGGAGGGAUCAUUACAGAGUUAUACAACUCCCAUACCAUUUGUAAACUUUACUCAGUUAUGCCUCGGCGUGAACUGCGUACGGAGGCAGAGUGGUGUUACCCGGUAGCUUACCCUGUAGGUUACCCUGUAGCGCUACCCUGUACCAACUCCCGCGCAGCCCGCCGGUGGUACACUAAACUCUUGUUUUAUUUUAUCUUCUGAGCGUAUUAUUUUAAUAAUUAAAACUUUCAACAACGGAUCUCUUGGUUCUG